rnacentral:rRNA from 1 species
UUAUUAUGAGAGUUUGAUCCUGGCUCAGGACGAACGCUGGCGGCGUGCCUAAUACAUGCAAGUCGAACGCUUCUUUCCUCCCGAGUGCUUGCACUCAAUUGGAAAGAGGAGUGGCGGACGGGUGAGUAACACGUGGGUAACCUACCCAUCAGAGGGGGAUAACACUUGGAAACAGGUGCUAAUACCGCAUAACAGUUUAUGCCGCAUGGCAUAAGAGUGAAAGGCGCUUUCGGGUGUCGCUGAUGGAUGGACCCGCGGUGCAUUAGCUAGUUGGUGAGGUAACGGCUCACCAAGGCCACGAUGCAUAGCCGACCUGAGAGGGUGAUCGGCCACACUGGGACUGAGACACGGCCCAGACUCCUACGGGAGGCAGCAGUAGGGAAUCUUCGGCAA